rnacentral:rRNA from 1 species
AUUGAACGCUGGCGGCAUGCUUUACACAUGCAAGUCUAACGGGAAUGUCGGCUUCGGCUGACUAGUACCGUGGCGCACGGGUGAGUAACACGUGGGUAAUCUAACCUCGAGCUCGGAAUAACCUUGCGAAAGCGGGGCUAAUACCGGAUAAGACCACGCCCAGCCUGCUGGGUGCGGUAAAAGGUGGCCUCUUCCUGAAAGCUACCACUUGAGGAUGAGCCCGUGGCCUAUUAGCUAGUUGGCGGGGUAAUGGCCCACCAAGGCGACGAUGGGUAGCCGGCCUGAGAGGGUGUACGGCCACACUGGAACUGAGACACGGUCCAGACUCCUACGGGAGGCAGCAGUGGGGAAUUUUGCGCAAUGGGGAAACCCUGACGCAGCAACGCCGCGUGAGUGAGGAAGGCCUUCGGGUCGUAAAGCUCUUUUAGUGGGGAAGAAGACCACCCGGGCUAAUAUCCCGGGUGAAUGACGGUACCCACAGAAAAAGUUCCGGCUAACUACGUGCCAGCCGCCGCGGUAAAAC